UCAAACUUGGUCAUUUAGAGGAAGUAAAAGUCGUAACAAGGUCUCCGUUGGUGAACCAGCGGAGGGAUCAUUACCGAGUUGAAAGACUCCCCAAGAACCCGCGAACCUACCCGUACGUGUUGCCUCGGCGGACGGCCCCAGGGCUCGGACCGCCCGCCGAAGGCCCCAAGCUUCUUAAUUUUACUCCGGGGACUCUCUGAGCGAUCCACGAAUCAGUUACAACUUUCAGCAACGGAUCUCUUGGCUCUGGCAUCGAUGAAGAACGCAGC
rnacentral:misc_RNA from 1 species